rnacentral:tRNA from 1 species
AGUGAGAGUAGCUUAAAUAAAGCGUUUGGCUUUUAACCAAGAUAUGGUGGUACACUCUACCCUCUUGCA